rnacentral:rRNA from 1 species
UACGAAGGGGGCUAGCGUUGCUCGGAAUUACUGGGCGUAAAGGGCGCGUAGGCGGAUAUUUAAGUUAGAGGUGAAAGCCCAGGGCUCAACCCUGGAAUAGCCUUUAAUACUGGAUAUCUUGAGUUCGGGAGAGGUGAGUGGAACUCCGAGUGUAGAGGUGAAAUUCGUAGAUAUUCGGAAGAACACCAGUGGCGAAGGCAGCCAUCUGGACCGACACUGACGCUGAGGCGCGAAAGCGUGGGGAGCAAACAGG